CGGUGAUAGCAAUAUCAUAGUGGCGCACGGGUGCGUAACACGUAUGCAACCUACCUUAUACUGAGGGAUAGCCUUUCGAAAGGGAGAUUAAUACCUCAUAACACAUUGAACUGGCAUCAGUUUAUUGUUAAAGAUUUAUUGGUAUAAGAUGGGCAUGCGUCCAAUUAGUUAGUUGGCGAGGUAACGGCUCACCAAGACGAUGAUUGGUAGGGGAACUGAGAGGUUAAUCCCCCACACUGGCACUGAGAUACGGGCCAGACUCCUACGGGAGGCAGCAGUAGGGAAUAUUGGGCAAUGGAGGCAACUCUGACCCAGCCAUGCCGCGUGCAGGAAGAAGGCGUUAUGCGUUGUAAACUGCUUUUAUAUAGGAAGAAAUAGACCUUGCGAGGUAAGUUGACGGUACUAUAUGAAUAAGCACCGGCUAACUCCGUGCCAGCAGCCGCGGUAAUACGGAGGGUGCAAGCGUUGUCCGGAUUUAUUGGGUUUAAAGGGUGCGUAGGCGGUUUACUAAGUCAGUGGUGAAAGACGGUCGCUCAACGAUUGCAGUGCCAUUGAUACUGGUAGACUUGAGUGGGAUUGAGGUAGCUGGAAUGGAUAGUGUAGCGGUGAAAUGCAUAGAUAUUAUCCAGAACACCAAUUGCGUAGGCAAGUUACUAAGUCUCAACUGACGCUGA
rnacentral:rRNA from 1 species